GUUAAAAUUCAAUGGACGAAACGAGUCCGAGAAACGAAGACUCAUCGAGGAGCUGCAUGCUCCGGUGAGAAAGAAUUUUCCACGAAGACGCGUCAUAGUUCGAGGAUACGAUGAUCUGUGGCAGGCCGACAUCGUAGACAUGUAUGCAUACUCACGUUUCAACAGAGGUUAUCACUACAUACUCACCGUCGUCGAUGUGUUGAGCAAGCAUGCUUGGGCUAUGCCACUUAAGACUAAAGGUGGAAGGGAGACGGUUAAUGCUAUCUGUGAGAUAAGCUGAGAAGGAAAAAAGAGAACAAUAAUUAAUGGCAGACAAUUAAUAUUCAUUGUGAGGUACAAAAAUAUGGUUAUUAACGUAGGUCGGCAUUUAUGGCUGUUCCUUGAGAAAGGAUCGCCGGGGCACCUCGCGCGCAUGUAUACCAUGAAUUAUUAUUGAAUGGGAAACGCCGGCAAGAUCUUUUGAGUCGGGGACGGGCGGUUAUCAGGAGGCACACCAAACGGCUUAGCCAUUCCGUUGGGAGCGACGUUAAAAUGCCUUCGAAAAUAAAAUCCCUCAUUUCGCAGGUCAGCUUCAAACCGCGUUCUCGAGUACGCGCUCCAUUUUCCUUUAUGUGUAAGUUCUUACACGUGAGACGCUAUCGAUUUAUCAAAGUUUCGCUGAUAAAAAUUAAUUACGACGAUUAAAAUGCGCAAAAUUAAACUUACAAUAAUUAUAUUAAUAUUCUCCAGCCGAAGACCAGUUUUUGCCGGUUACUUACUUACAAAAAAAUAGUAUUGAAUGAGAAGGCAACUAAUAUCUACCACAAAACUGUACUAGUACAGUUGAAAACAUGGGUAAUAAUUUGUGGUAGAUAUUAUCACAAUGUACUACCCAGGUGUUCGCGCUAUUAAAAAAGGUGUCGAAACGAUAUGUAUUACAUGUAACUUAGUAGGUGCUAGUAUAAACGCGGAACUCUCUGACAUCAUGCACCUUGAUAAGGAAGUCGCCGUCAGCAGCCAGGUUUCGGCGCUUGACCUCAUGACUCGUGCCAUGGA